GGAGAGGACUGAGAGUUUGGCUUUUUUUUUCCCCCCGCAGCAGCAGCCAAUCCCCUGCUUGGCUGAGGGCGGGGCCUCUCUCUGGCCCCGUCUCUUGCCCUUCCCCCACUCUUUCUCCAGAACCCUGAAGGGAGGUCCAGAAAUCAAAGCCGUUAGUGUGUGCAAACUCUCCCGGUGUCUCGGGCCCCCAGCUAUUUCAGAUUGUAUGCCAGCACACAACUGGCUUCCAACAAUUUGUUAAAAUUUUAGCUGAUUUCUUACCCAGUUUUACGGACCCCGUGUGUCUUCCCCACUCCGUGCCCACGCCUGGCACAGGCUUUUCUCAUUGUGAGUGUGGGAGAAACACUUUCCAGCUUUCUACACCUUUGUGGGAGCCCAAAUCCUCUUGUCUUUGAAACCUCUCUUCCACCUUCUACCCACCAAUGUUCCCAAGCUAAUGCUACCUGUUUGAGGUUGGUCUUAACAUUCCACUUCCAGGUACCAAUUUUUAUUCAGGAAUCUUUUUGUCCUGUUACCUAUUGGUGCAUAACAAAUCACCUCAGAAUGCGUUGGCUUCAAAUAAAAAUGUCCUGCUAUUUCUCAUA